UUAACUCAAAUUUGUAUGCAGUUGGAACUUUACUUACGUUUGCCACUAGGGGCGCUAUUCCAACUGCAUACCAAUUUUACUUU
rfam:Bombyx mori DNA, contig: Bm_scaf17_contig12992, strain: p50T/Dazao, build 2, whole genome shotgun sequence.